CCAUCCAUCAGCAUUUCGUGUAAGACAUGUCUUAAAGGGACAGUUCUCCCCGAAAAUUAUAAAUACAUUAUUUUUCCUCUUACUGGUGGUGCUGAGCAUCUACCUAGAGUUCCCUCGUUUGGGAGAUAGCAGCCUUCGAGAUGUCUGCUUUCUCUUAAUUAUAACAGAACUAGAGGCACUCGGUUCGUGGUGCUAAAAAAAAAAAUGUCGGCAAUGUUUCCAGAAAUCAUCGUUCAGGACAAUCCACAGAAUUUGUUUUGAGCAGUUUCAUGCAGGAUCUAACGUCCUUCUCCUUCUACCACAGGGAAUGUGCAGUUUGAUCAUGGACCAAAGGGCUUGAUAACUGCAACAAGGGCUUUAUCCAAAUGUCCAGACGUCACCUCUCUUGAAACCUCGCAGACUUUGCGGUCACAUUCGCAAAAAGUCGGCACGUACCCAGGGCUGUCCAAACCCACAAUUCAUUCAGGCCUCAAGGGGCCUAAAGCUGCUAAACUUUCUGCUGCCACAUCAUAACAAGAGAAAUAUGUAGAAGUACAGGUUACAGAGAUGAUAUGUGGAACAUUUUGGACCUUCACCUCUCCCCUUUUGAUAUCGUACCCCAUUGGAGAGGUAAGCAACAUUGCUGUCAGACAUUUCUCUGUUCUAGCCUUGCUCUUGAAUUUCAUUUAUAAGUUUGCUUGCUGUCUUAAACGUGACGUGUAAUAUGCUAACAUAAUGCCUGUGUAGGAGCUCAAGUUUGAUAUCAUUAUUCCCCCGGACGAUUUUGUUAUUCACCCUUUUGAUCAGAAUAAAUGCAGAUCUCCACAAAGA